rnacentral:lncRNA from 1 species
GUUUCAGUGUAGCACAUGCAAUCACAAAUUAAUAUUGUGUUGUCUCUUGAUCAUUUUAGUAACAUAAAAUUUGAUCAAUAGCACUUCUUUUUUUUAAUAUUUAUUCUUUAGUUUUUGGCGGAUACAACAUCUUUGUAUGUGGUGUUGAGGAUCAAACCCGGGCCGCACGCAUGCCAGGCGAGCGCGCUACCGCUUGAGCCACAUCCCCAGCCCUCAAUAGCACUUCUUAUGUUGUGGAAUAAGUACAUGGAAAUUUACCAAUUAAACUAAUCGAAAUAAGAUAACAUUAUUAUGUAUUUUAACUGUCAUGCCAAGUAUAUUAUUGCAGUUUUCUUGGAUUUUGCUUGUAGAAGAAUAAUAUUUACAAGUGAAGCCAUGCUUGCUAUUUGAAUUAUAAAGAACGUGAUUGGAUUCUUAAAGCCAGUUUUUAGGUUAUAAUUGAUAUACAGUAGACAUCUAAAUUACUUAAUAAAUCUUGAAAUAUAUAUGCAUAAACUCACCACAUCAAGAUAAUGAACAUAUUAUCAGUCUCCUCCCCAUAUUUCUUCCUUCCUCUCUCACCCAUCCAUCCCACUUAUUUCCCAGCAACCACAUAGGUUUGCAUUUUCUAGAGCUCAAUGUAUUUACAACCAGCAUACAUCCUUUUUGUUAGGCACUUACUCCACGUAACGUGAGAUUCAUCCAUGUUGAGCAUAUCAACAGCUCAUUCCUUUUUUAUUGCUGAGUGUUCAUCCAUUGUGUAGAUUAUCACAAUUUGUUUAUAUAUUCACCUGCUGGUGAAUAUUUGGGCUGUUUCAAGCUUUGGACUAAUGCAAAUAAAGCUGCUGUGAACAUAUGAGUCUUCAUAUAGACAUAUGCUUGCUGUUGUCUUGCAUAAAUACCUAGGAGUAGAAUAGCUGAUUUCUAUGAUAGGAACAUAUUUAACUUAUAAGAAGGUGCCAAAAUGGUUGUGCCACUUUACAUUCCCACCAGUAAUAUAUGAAGGUCAAGGUACUUUACAUCUUCAUCAAAUGCUUGGUAUAGUCAGAAUUUUUAAUUGGAGCCAUUUUAAUAGGUAUGUAGUGGUAUUGUUCUAGUUCUGCAAUUAAGUUCAUUAUUGGGUUUGUGUUUUACAUUCUGAAGAGCAGAGAUUUUUAAUUUUGGUAAAGUAAAAUUUAUUGUUUUUCUUCUGGAUUGCAAUUUUGGUGUUGCAUCUAUGAAAUUUUGUGUGAUCCCCUGGGCACAGUGGUACACACCUGUAAUUCCAGUGGCUCAUGAGGCUGAGACAGGAGGAUUGUGAGUUCAAAGCCUGCCUCAGCAAUGGCAAGGCACUAAGCAACUCAUUGAGACCCUGUCUCUAAAAAAUAGGGCUGGGGAUGUGGCUCAGUGGUUGGUGCCCCUGAGUUGAAUCCCCAGUACCAAAAAAAAGGGAAAAGAAAAAUAUAUCCUGGUGUUUUUGUUUUGCUCCCCUUAUCACUCCAAAAGUUUUGUGAUUUGGAGUUUCACAUCUAAAGUUUUACAUUUUGAUUUGAUCUCAUAUAUGGUUCAAGGUAGUGAUCAAAAGUUUUUGUUCUUGGGUUUUUUAUGGGGACAGGUGUUGUGGCAUAUGGAUCGCCGGUUCCAGCACCAUUUGUUGAAAAAUAGCUCUUUUCCCAUGGACUUGCCUUUGUGCCUUAGUCCACAUUUGUGUAAGUCAAUUUUUGCACUCAGAUUCUGUUUUGCUGAUCUAUUUGUCUUACUUGAUGCCAUUACUACAUUAUGUUGAUUACUGUAGCUUUGUAAUGAGUCUCAAAAUCAGCCAGUGGUUAGCAUUUUGUUCUUUUUCAAGUACUUUUAGCUAUAUUUCGUAUUUCCAUAUAAAUUUUAUGUUUUUAGAACCAGUUUGCUAGUUUCUACCACCAAAAACAAACAAAAAAAACCUUACUGGGCUUUUAAUUUGAAUUGUGUUGAAUCUGUAUAACAAUUUGGGAGGAAUUGGCAUCCUAAUGUUAAGUCUUCUGACUCCAACAUGGUAGAAUUCUACAUGUAUAUAAGUCUUUAUUUCUCUUAGCAAUAUUUUGUGGUUUUCAGUAUACAUGCAUUCUGUACAUGUUUUGUGAUUUAUCCCUAAGUAGUUAAUAUUUUUAUGUCAUUGUAAAUAGGUUAAUUUAGUUAUCCAUUGAUAGUAUAUAGAAAUAUACUAUCAAUUUAUUUUUUAUUAUUGACCUUGUAUACUGCAACCUUGCUAAAUAUACUUAUUCUAAUAAAUAAGAAUUAUCUCAUAUUUCCAAUACAAGUUACAGUCUGAUUCCCUGGAGUAACCUGGUGGUCUGAUUGAGUAUUCACUAUACUCUCUGAGCCAUUGUCAUAAUGGAAAGAGGUGGAAAGGACAAAUUCAGCAUUGGUCUUCUCUACAUGGGAAGAUCAUUUUCCAAUGGGCCAGGCUUUUAAGGUUUACUUUUUCAAAAGAGGAAAAUACUUAAUCUGAUUCAACCAUUGACUACUAGCCAUUAGCAUUGAAAUGGAGAGCUCCCAGAAUUCCUCAUGCUUAGGAUGGGCCCAACAAAGCUAAAAUUCACAUAGUUUCUGUCUUAAGCAUAGCCCAGCUAAAUCUGCCUAAAAUGUAUUUUUCCUUUUUAUAUUGUUCACCCAUUUCUUAUGCAGGCAGGGGGAGAGGGGGGAGGAACCAAAUCCAGCCAGAAGAUAACAGUAUCACUUUGAAGCCAGAAGAAAUUCAGAGCACACUCCAGACCUUUGAGCCAGACUGCAUAUGAACAACUUUCCCCAGGUGAUCUAUGUGCACAAAUUUUAGUAGCAUUGGUUCCUGUUGACAAAAAGCACCAUGUAGAUCCUUUACUUCUGGGCACCUUAUAAACUAGCUUUGUCUAUAAUUUACAGAAAGGACUCCCAAGGCCUUUUCUCAUAAUGAGAACUAGAAAGGCAUUUGUGAACAUUGUUGGAUUGUUUCUUGAAAUAAAUUUAUCUAUGUCAGUUUAAGUCUUCGACCAGCAUUCAUUGAACUGAGAGGAAGGCUCUGUGACUUUAGUAGACAUCUCAGCUGAGUGAUCAGGGUCUUCAUCACAAUAUCAUUUUCUAGAACCUUGUAGUGUCUUUCUUUUCCUUGUUGCACUUCAUUCACCCACCUUCAAAACCACACUCUAGACCUCUUGACCUAAUUGCCUCUGAAUUCUUUCUGACCUCAGCCAGCUGUCUUUUCCGUUUUAUCCUCCCACUGCAUCUGUUCUUUCAGGAAGACUGGUUAAUUUCCUUACUUUCUCCUCAUCUCUUCUGGUCAUCUCUUUGACUCUGCCUAACUACUACUCUCUCAUACCAGUUUUCUCCAGCUCCUGCCUUAGGAAAACCCAACCAUAGAUCAUUCUGUGAACUCUGAGGAUAUUCAAGCUGGUGAACAUUGCUGGGAAAAAUUUGGCUGUGCUAGUUGGUGCUCCUACAAAAUGUCUGGAGUUUUGCUGGGUCUCCCUAGCCAUCCAAAGGCAGAUCAUACCCAUUCUUUAUUUGCAUGAGUUUCCUGAAGCUGCUGCAACAAAUCCCUACAAACUUGGUGGCUUAAAGACAAAUUUAUCCUCUUGUAAUUCCAGAUGUCAGAAGUUCAAAAUCUAUUUUCUUCUGUGAAGUAAAGAUGUCAUCAACGUCACAGUCCCUCCAGAGGCUUUAAGAGAGAAUUCACUCCUUGCCUCUAAGCUUCUGGUGGUUGCUGGCUUCCUUGGCUUACAGCCACAACACUCCAGUCUCUACCUGUCCACAUGCCUUCUUUUAUGCCCGUACAAAAGAUACAUAAGACAGUUGCCUCUCUCAAGGACAAUUGUGAUGGAGUCUAGGGCCAAAUGGAUAAUCUCAAGAUCCUUAAUCACAUCUGCACAUCUGCAAAAACCUUUUCAAAAUAAAUUAACAUUUACAGAUUCCAAGAAUGAGAACUUGGUAUUUUGGUGUGUCCAAAUAUACCUAAUGUACUAUAUUCAACAAUUUUAUUAUUAAAAAUAGUAUAUAUACAGAAAUAUAUGAAAAUGUACCUCUUUAGUUCUCAAAUGAAGAAACAUUACCAGGU